GCAUGUAGAAAAUAUAUAGGAAUGCAGAAAAUAUUGUUAUACUUUAAUCUGAACACAAAAAUUUCCCUGAAACAAUUAACAUACAUUGGGCCAUACAGUCAUGCACAUAGUUUUGACUGUCAGAUCAGAUGUAUAAAGUUCAGCAUAGUGAGUUGCAUUCAUGGCCAAAGACAUAUUAGGUUAAUUAUUUUACAUAAUUAUUUUUCGUCAUUUGCCACGCAUGUAAUCGGUGAAGGAUUCAGGAUUAUCAUGGAAAUAACGUUUUAAACGUGCUAUAUAAAACGGUGUUCAAUAUUCAUACUACAUGAUGGGCAUAUGGCCAAACAAACACCUUGUGCUUUUUUGCUCAAAUUUACGCACGCAUGAUUUUGUAUACAUAAUAUAGAUUUAAAUCUAGCAAUUCAAAUCCAAAACUCAUGGGGUCAUGCAUGACAUCUAUCUAUAAUUUAUAUUUUC